GUCUGAUUUGACUGGGGUAGAUCAGUUGGUAGAGCAUGAGACUUUUAAUCUCAGGGUUGUGGGUUCGAGGCCAACAUUGGGCA